UUACUCGACCACACAAAAGCUCUUCCUCUGCCAGUCACUCAGUCAGUUAGAGUCGGAGGGAGUUUGUGCAGCAUCAGCCUCUGAAAGAACACCACCACAACUGAAAUCAGCCAUGCAUCCUAUAUUGAUCGGCAUAGUGGCAGCCAACACUAGUUUAACUAUUGUCUACUGGAACUUUCUUCUGUCUCAGGUUUUCGGCAAGAAGAUCAGAGAUGGAGAACCGACUGAGGAAAUUCCCGCCUGAAUUGAGGCUCUGGUCGUGACCCUGGUGAUGAAGAGAAAGAAGAAGAACCACCAAAGACCAUCUUAGGAAAGGAAGUAGGGAUGAGGGAGAGAAUAUAAGAACAAAGAAGGAACAGACUGCCAUUUGACCCAGACGCGGACGGAUAGAAGCUAGGAUUUAAAUCUGCUGUAUUUGACAAAUCAUGAGGUUAAAAAGGUGUCCGUGAAUAGAUUUAUGAACAACCCUCUCUCUUUCAUCCAUUAGUCCACCUCCACAAGCCCCAAAUCCACACCCCCACCCAAAAAAUCUCUCUUUGUCAGUGCUGCUUAUUUUCACCUGUUCUAGUUACCAAAAAUCAUAGCUUAUGUAUCUGAAGUCUGUAGGCAGAUGUUUUUUUUUCACUAUAUUUAGCAAAACAGCUAACGUUACACAGGUUUUGUGAAAUUGUAUCUGUCUUACUCUUCUACAUGUGUCUCUUUCCCUCAAUAAUAAAUUAAUAUGUAGAGCA